rnacentral:SRP_RNA from 1 species
UGUCGGGUUCUGUGCAACGGAAGAUUGUGAACCCCGUCAGGUCCGGAAGGAAGCAGCGGUAAGCAAACCCUUCUGUGUGCAUCAGGGUGCCUGCCGGGA